UACGGGGGGGGCAAGCGUUGUUCGGAAUUACUGGGCGUAAAGGGCGCGUAGGCGGCGUGGUAAGUCACUUGUGAAAUCUCCGAGCUUAACUCGGAACUGCCAAGUGAUACUGCUGUGCUAGAGUGCAGAAGGGGCAACCGGAAUUCUUGGUGUAGCGGUGAAAUGCGUAGAUAUCAAGAGGAACACCUGAGGUGAAGACGGGUUGCUGGGCUGACACUGACGCUGAGGCGCGAAAGCUAGGGUAGCAAACGGG
rnacentral:rRNA from 1 species